UUGAAUAAUAUUAUCGGUUUGCUCAUGCACCAUUUUUGAAUUCCAAGACUACGGUUGCGAUGACUUGACUGUUAGAUAUGAGUUGCGCGUACGGACAGAUGUUGGGGACAAUCGUAUCGGUGGGACAGUUUUCCUGAAGAAUAUUGUUGGGCUUGGAAUAAAGGAAGUGGACCAACUAUAUGAGUCCGAUCAUUAUGGUUGGGAUUUAGAUUUUGUAAUUUCCAGAACAAUAGUAAGGCCAUGUAAUCUUCCAAGUUCGGAACCAUGACCUGACAAAGUCUUGCAAGAUAAAAAAGUGUGGAGUCCAUUCUUUUCCAACAAAGUGCGCUAAAAGCCGUAGAAGAAUCUAGAUCUAGAAGAUUUUUCAUCUAUGAGAUGAAGAAACGGCAGACGGAAUCAAUCUCCAAGACAUUGAAGUUUCAAAAUUUCAUUAAUGGCGAAUCCAGCUCAAGGUGUGGGGUGCCUCCAGUAAAUGUGAAAGAAGUGGAACAAUUGAAUCCAAUUAGAAAUGAAUCCAGUAGCUUUGCUCUUUUUGAUUUGAAUGAACUCCCUCAAGAUUCUUAUGGACCAACAAUGGCUGUGAUUUGCACAACAACACAAAGCCGCACUAACAGUGCUGGAGCAUAACCUUGGGGAAGUGGCUGCUUUGAUGAUGAAGUUGAACCACAACCAAAAAGACCUAAACAAUCCAAAUUGUUGUAAGGGCAAAGCCUAAAUCUUGAACUUUGAUUUAUAAAUAUAUUGGUGCAGAAGCUGGAUGGAGAGAAGACUAAUAUUUAUGAAUGCAAGGAUGUGCUCCUAGGAUUUAUGCAACAUUUACCGGGUUCUGGUUGGAAUGUUGUUGCCAGUAUUUUCGGGACUUUUCCAAAGUGGAUCAAGCAGCUUCCUUUGGAUAGGCAGCCACAAUGUGAAGAGGGAUGAAAAAACAGCACUGAGAGUAGGUGAAGAACCUGUCUUUGAGGGGAGGACAUGAGGCAGAGCAAACUAUGCUGAACAGGGUCAUUUCAACGAUGGAUAAUAUAAUGCUCAGUAUGCGAACUUUGUAUUGUACUCUACUUUAUCAUGAUUUUGCGCUGAUCCCAGUCCCUUCAAGCAAACUUAUUUGAGUUCCAUAUCAUAUUUUACUACAAAGGCCUUUUACAUUUGGAUAUGUUUUGGUUGCUUAUUUAAUUGCUUUUUUAUGUGUUGAACCACAUCUUAAAGCUUUCUCCAAAAAGGUAUAACAUUUAUACAGAAUUUUUUAAAUACCAUCAAUGUCAUAAGAUGUGGAAAAUGAGAAACAUUAUAGCAUCCAUUCCCUGCGUUUCUUAAAUCUUCCCAUCUAAGAACAAGAUUCUUGAAUGUAUAGUCUAUGUUACAGGUAGAAAACACUUCUGAUUGGUAUGAUUAAUUUCUA